CGAGUGGCGAACGGGUGAGUAAUACAUCGGAACGUGUCCGCUCGUGGGGGACAACCAGCCGAAAGGUGGCUAAUACCGCAUGAGUUCUACGGAAGAAAGAGGGGGACCCGCAAGGGCCUCUCGCGAGCGGAGCGGCCGAUGACUGAUUAGCCGGUUGGUGAGGUAACGGCUCACCAAAGCAACGAUCAGUAGCUGGUCUGAGAGGACGACCAGCCACACUGGGACUGAGACACGGCCCAGACUCCUACGGGAGGCAGCAG
rnacentral:rRNA from 1 species